rnacentral:rRNA from 1 species
AUGCUCGCUGCAAUUAGCUACUUGAGAAGAACAACAUGUCGGUGGCUGUUUUAUGUUUGUUGUAAUCAACUAAAGCUUCAUGCUUACUAUGAUUCAACAUGGGUAUGUAAUCCCGUUGAUCAUCGAUCUGCCACAAGCUACCACCUUUUUCUUGGUACUUCUCUCAGUGCAUGUAAAUGCAAGAAACAAACUACAGUAUCUCAUUCUAGUGCUGAAGUUGAGCUUCGAGCCCUUGCUACAACGACCUUAGAAAUUGUAUGGCAUCGCUGGCUCUUAGCUGAUAGAACACUUCUUUGUGACAACACAUUUGCAAUUCUAAUUGCAAAUGAUCCAAUUAGCAUGAACUGA